rnacentral:rRNA from 1 species
GUUUAACGGCCGCGGUACCCUAACCGUGCGAAGGUAGCAUAAUCACUUGCUCUUUAAAUGAGGGCUAGUAUCAAAGGCAUCACGAGGGUUAUCUGUCUCCUUUCUCUAAUCAAUGAACCUGAUCUCUUCGUGAAGAAGCGAAGAUAAUAAUAUAAGACGAGAAGACCCCAUGGAGCUUCAAAUUAAGCCUACAUCCAACAGUUAAUUUAACCCGUUAGAACUGUAUGCUAGUUUUAGGCUGGCCGUAACAGCAAAACCUCUAUGACGAACGGAUUAACACCCUAAUAAGAGCUACUCCUCUAAUAAUCAACACAUUGACGUAAGUUGACCCGACAAUCGAUCAACAGACCAAGUUACCCUGGGGAUAACAGCGCAAUCUAUUCGAGAGCCCAUAUCGACAAGUAGGUUUACGACCUCUGUUGGAUCAGGGUAUCCCAGUGGUGCAGCCGCUACUGAAGGUUCGUUUGUUC